rnacentral:rRNA from 1 species
UGGGGAAUUUUGGACAAUGGGCGAAAGCCUGAUCCAGCAAUGCCGCGUGUGUGAAGAAGGCCUUCGGGUUGUAAAGCACUUUUGUCCGGAAAGAAAACGUCGUGGUUAAUACCCGUGGCGGCUGACGGUACCGGAAGAAUAAGCACCGGCUAACUACGUGCCAGCAGCCGCGGUAAUACGUAGGGUGCAAGCGUUAAUCGGAAUUACUGGGCGUAAAGCGUGCGCAGGCGGUCCGCUAAGACAGAUGUGAAAUCCCCGGGCUUAACCUGGGAACUGCAUUUGUGACUGGCGGGCUAGAGUAUGGCAGAGGGGGGUAGAAUUCCACGUGUAGCAGUGAAAUGCGUAGAGAUGUGGAGGAAUACCGAUGGCGAAGGCAGCCCCCUGGGCCAAUACUGACGCUCAUGCACGAAAGCGUGGGGGAGCAAACAGGAUUAGAUGCCCCUGGUAGUCCACGCCCUAAACGAUGUCAACUAGUUGUCGGGUCUUCAUUGACUUGGUAACGUAGCUAACGCGUGAAGUUGACCGCCU